CCCAAUGUACUGAGGUUUGCAGCGGGCCUUGAAAUUUGGAAUGGGCUUUGGGCUGCAAAUUAAUCGGGCCCGAACUUCUGAGGUGAAUUGAUUUAGACACCCGUUGUGUUGAGCUUCUGAGGUUGGGCUCUGUGACUUGAGAUGGGCUUUGCAGAGCUCCAAAACUUGUAUACGAGUGAUUUGCAAUGCAUAAACUGAUUUGGACACCCAUUAAUACAGCCCCAUUGAGCCCAGCUCACGUCUUCAAGGUUCUGAUCCCAAAAGGAAGACGUCAUCUCCAUUCGAUAAGCUUCAGAUCCUCUGUGAGACCUCUUUGGCGUAAUCAUCAGAUAGAGAUCAAUUUCAAGAUGAGGAUUAACUAUUUUAAUUCGAUCUGGAGAGGGAGUCAUAUCGCUGAAGUCCAUAUAAAUGGGUUGGCUCAAGUGCCUAGAUUCCCCAUUCGUUCUCUUUCGCGCACCAAAUCAGAGGCCUUGAUUUCUUACCCCUGUUCGCGAAACGCAUCUGUCAGAGCUAUUGGUGUCGAAACCAGAACUGCAAAUGUGUUCAAUUAUACUUGACUCUGACAAACAUAUGUGUGAAGCUAUCUGCAUAUUUUAGACAUAUCUCCACCGCCAAGCCUCGUGGCUCCUUGAGAAGUGACCUCUGCUUCUUUAAUUAGAUGCAAUUGCCGCAUGCUUCUUGAUCUUUUAUUUUUGGCUUGUUCUCAAAGAGACUUGCAGCCUAGCUGCCUCAAUUAUGCAUAUUCUGAAGCUUCUGCUCUGCUGCAAAUAAGUGGAAUAAGCUUCCAUUUCUCUUUUUGCGUAGCCGUGACCAUGAAACCAAAAGCAAGGACUUCAUUUUCCUUUCUUGCUGAUCAUGAGAUUGCUUUUCCAUCUUGCAGACACCAUUUUGAAGAAAAGCAUUGCAGGCGGUGUUCAAACCAUUGCAACAAACAUAAUUUUGAAGGAAGACGUUGCAGCUUGACCACAUCUUUUCUAGGAGUUAAUAAACAUUGCUGCCACUAUCUUGUGCCAAGUAACAAGAACCAGACGACUCCCAUCUCUCUUGUAUUUCGUGGCUGCAGUUUAGUGAUCGAGGGUGAGCCGAACCGAGCGCUUUGCAGGCUUGUGGCUGGAGGUGGAUAACUUGGGGCUGAAACUCUACACGGGGAUCAUCUUGGAGCAGCUUCCCUACUGUUGUGAACUCGGGAACUUUGCAGAACCGUACUCGGUGUGAACUGGUAACCCCGAGGCGUUCACUUGACAUACUUAUUUUUGCCACCCAUAUGCAGGACGCACCGCGAUACAGGCAUCAAAAACAAGCAUGGUGAACCCCCUUGAUCUUGAAGCUUGCUUCCGCCACCUAUACGCAGGACGCACCGCAGUAUAGGCAUCGAAAGCAAGUGCAGCAUGGAGUGACACCACGGCUGUGAAUGAGGGCUUGAUGUCGACUUUGUGUCUUGCCCGGAAGCCGUUGGUGAGAUUUGUGAGGAUGACAGCAACGAGGGACUUUUGGAGAGAGGAUAGGCCAUCAACUUCUUGUUUGGAGUGUUCAUAGUCUUACAUGAUCACCUAUUUAGCUUUCUGUAAUCAUAUAAUGUAGAACAAAGAGAACACUUGAGUGAAAAUAAUAAUUGACAGCAUAUAGAAGAAAUUAUACCCA